GGAUGAACGCUAGCGAUAGGCCUAACACAUGCAAGUCGAGGGGCAGCAUAGGGUAGCAAUACUUUGAUGGCGACCGGCGCACGGGUGAGUAACGCGUAUGCAACCUACCUAUAACAGGGGGAUAACCCGGAGAAAUUCGGACUAAUACCGCAUAAAACAGGGGCUCCGCAUGGAGAUAUUUGUUAAAGAUUUAUCGGUUAUAGAUGGGCAUGCGUUCCAUUAGCCAGUUGGUGAGGUAACGGCUCACCAAAGCGACGAUGGAUAGGGGAACUGAGAGGUUUGUCCCCCACACUGGAACUGAGACACGGACCAGACUCCUACGGGAGGCAGCAGUGAGGAAUAUUGGUCAAUGGGCGAGAGCCUGAACCAGCCAAAUCGCGUGAAGGAAGACUGCCUUAUGGGUUGUAAACUUCUUUUAUACAGGAAUAAAAAAGGGGACGUGUCCCUUAUUGCAUGUACUGUAUGAAUAAGCAUCGGCUAACUCCGU
rnacentral:rRNA from 1 species